CCUACGGGUGGCAGCAGUGAGGAAUAUUGGUCAAUGGGCGCGAGCCUGAACCAGCCAAGUCGCGUGAAGGAUGACUGCCCUACGGGUUGUAAACUUCUUUUAUAAAGGAAUAAAGUGAGGCACGUGUCCCUUUUUGUGUGUACUUUAUGAAUAAGGAUCGGCUAACUCCGUGCCAGCAGCCGUGGUAAUACGGAGGAUCCGAGCGUUAUCCGGAUUUAUUGGGUUUAAAGGGAGCGUAGAUGGGUUGUUAAGUCAGUUGUUAAAGUUUGCGGCUCAACCGUAAUAUUGCAGUUGAUACUGGGUGUCUUGAGUGGAGUUGAGGUACGCGAAAUUCGUGGUGUAGCGGUGAAAUGCUUAGAUAUCACGAAGAACUCCGAUUGCGAAGGCAGCUUACU
rnacentral:rRNA from 1 species